GUUCAGUGUGAGGUCAUGGGAGCAAGAGAGUAAUGUGAUAGGGUAUUCUGAAUAAGCACAAUAAGGCGGGAUGGGUAAGCACAGGCAAGAAGUGGAUAUUACAAAGAAUGGGAGAGGAAACUGACCAGGGAAACAGAAUCCCUGGUCAGUGCUGCAGAGAACAUGAAGAUGACAGGAACCAUUCUUGAUAAUUUGGACCAAAUAAAAGGAUCAGGAUCACAUCCAAGAAAACACAUGACACUCUUCCUGGUCUCUGUGGCAAUUUCUGUUUUUGUUCAAUUUCAUGAGUAUAGGACAGAGCCAGAAACAACAAUUAAAAACAACAACAACAAAAUGCAAUUCAUAUUAUGCAACUAUAAAAAUGAGCAGAGAGGCUUCAAACAUGUGAACAAACUACAAAAAGCAAGCAACCUUGGAACUGAGUUUCCUAUUUCUUCAGGUACCAGGAGAUAGAAGACACAGCAUCAGGGAAACAUAUUGCGUAUGAAAACCUCUUCAGUUUCACUCCAUAACCUCAGACAACUUCUCCAGGCACGACUCCCAUCCUUCUGCGGUAAGGAGCAGUCCUCUGUCAUCAUCACCACUAUAUUCUAUGCCUUAAACUGGCAUUUGUCUCAUGUUUCAAUAAUAUUAAUAGUCACAUAUUUAUACUCUGAUGUUAACUUUUAAUUUUAACUUGCCAUUAUCUGAUGGAGGUGAACUCCAUUAUUUUUAGUUUAAAAUGUUUCUUAGUUUUCUAGAGAUCAGCUGUAAGAGGUAUGUUGUCAUCAUCAAAUGGUGAGGAUUUAUCCCAAGUACUUUAGCAGGAUAGAAUUCUAAUCAAGCUUUGCUUGGAUAAUAUACUAAUGUGUUAGUGACUGUAAUAUUUUCCAAUGAUGCAAGAUAUAUUUAAAAUCUAAUCAUUGUCCUGAUAAUAGCAAAAUGUUAGCAUUAUUUUCAAUCAUCUUAAGUGUCCUGGGGUGGCGGUCAGGGAGGGAGGCCACACAGUCAUCAUCUGUCAACCAGAAUCUUUCCUUUUUUAUUGUUUUAUAGGGGUAGACUUGGGUCAGAAUCGAGCUGAGACAAACUUGAGAAGUUAAGUAGGAACAAUUUUGCCCUACUCUUCCCUUUCUGCCAAUGCACAUUUCUGCUCAGCCUGCUGCUUAGAUGCUGCCUCCUUUCGUGGUCUGAUAAUGGAUUAAGGUGUUAGCCCUCUCAGGGUUAUUUGUAUUUUAAUAAUGCAAAGUACCACAUGAUUUUAAGAACUGCAAGGCUAACAUUCUAAAACUGUCUCAGGAAUGUGAUUCCGCUUCCUUCCAAUGCCUCUGAUGCACAGCCUCCUCUCCUCUCUCUUAAAAAAAGACCUUGAAGCAGGUUAUGGACUCCCCAGCCUUCCGGGACUCUAAGGUACAUUUCCCUUUGUGGAUGCUUACAGUGCAAGCCCGAUCAGGUUCAAGAGUCAGGUGAGUAUAAUUACAUGCUGAUGUCUAUCAGAAUAAAAGAUAGUCAAGAGACAUUUAUGCCACCCUUAUAUAUAUUAAGUUAUUAAGAAUAUAAAAAUAAUUAUCCCACUAACAUCACUUUGCAGUGUCAAGAUAUAUAGAGAGACACAGUUCAUAAUUUUACACUUAAUUAAUGCACAGUAAUAGAUUAGUUUCUCCAUAAUUGAAUAACAGCCUAUGCUGAGUCUUCUGACAGGCUUUGGGCAAUAAGCUUGAAUGGCCCUGCUCUGAUUAGUUUAAGACAUGCCUGUGAGUGCCUUUCUUUCUCUUUCUUUCUUUCUUUCUUUCUUUCUUUCUUUCUUUCUUUCUUUCUUUCUUUCUUUCUUUCGCACAGAUAUGGGGGGUUUAACAGAGUAUAUAAAUCUCAGGGAAGUCCUUUGCUCAUGAACAAUGAGUCACAAAAUGAUUAUGGACAUCAUAGGUUAUUUAUUGUGGUUCUAGGACAUUUUGGAACUAUGAUCAUUAAUAUACUAUAGUUGUGAAUCUUUUUGGUUUUCUGCAUCUGAAGAAUUAAAUGGGAAAAGGCCAUCAAAGAACGUUUCACUUUCAUGCUUGACUACCUUAAAGAAUCCUACAUAAAAUAAAUCCAAAUUUUAUGGCUUACAUUUUAGAGACAGUUAGUAUUUUAUGAAGAUGCUUAACCACCAGGAUUAUAAAGACAAGCAGAGAUCUACAAUAAAAAAGCAACCUUUGUUUUAUCUUGAAUGGUCUAGAUUAAAAGGUAAUAAUGUUCACUACUAAUUUUCAAGCAUAUUUAAUGCCAAGCACUACACGUACAUUAUCUCAUUUCAUCCAUCUAAAAUAAACCACAAAAAAGGUACACAUAUCCCCAUUUUACAGUUGAAAACAUUGAGACUCAUAAAGGCUUAUUUGCAUACUUUCAAGCGUGGACAUUUCUAAAUGCAAAACUCAUGCAUUUCCCUCAGUGUCAUGCUGCUACUCUAAUUAGAAAAGCAGUGUGGAAGGGACAACAUGAAUAAUUUAAUUUGACUCAUGUGUAGGCUGUUUUCCAGCUAGUUACCAUCUCUUUACUAUGAACUUGAUUAAACAAGCCAAGCUUGGCUUAAAAUAAUGCUCCUCAAGCAAUUUGCAUCUAUCUUUAAGGUUGGCAGGGAAACUGACCUCUACCAAUCUGUUUUUGCUUAUGACCAUAAAACAAACAAGACCUUGGAUAAAACCUAAAAGGAAGAAAGAUGUUUUUAUUAUAACAAUUAAGACUCAUGCAUGAGCUAUUCAUUAAUGCCCUGCAAGUUGACUUUUUGGCAUAGAAAAAUACAAUCAAAAUUCCAGAGACAUCCCAAAACUUUUCUAUCACACAUUUAAAACAAACGAACAAAUGAAUUAGUAGCUAAGUGAAGCAAUCUCUACAGUAUUAAUACAGAUUUUGAUAUAUUUUAAAACUAACCUUUAACUUAUUGAGCUUAUGCAUAGGUUAUAUAUCUUAUUUCCUCAUGGAGAUAUUAGAAGAUUAUUUUCUGAAUGAUUUUUUUUUUUUGCUUUGAGUUUCUUGGAAGUAGAGGUGGUGUUAAACAUCCAAUAUCUUAACAAUCUACCUAUUUUUUAAUAGAAAAUUACUUUAGCAGUGUUUUGUAGUUUUCCUUUUAGAGAUAUUUCAUUUUUUUGGUUAGAUGUAUUCCAAGGUAUUUUUUUUUUUUUGGUAUGGCUAUUUUAAAAGAUUGCAUUCUUGAUUUGGCUCUCAGCUUGAACAUUAUUGGUUUAUAAAAUGCUACUGAUUUUUGUACAUUGAUUUUGAAUCCUGACACUUUACCAAAAUCAUUUAUCAGCUCCAGCAGCCUUAGUGGUGGAGUCUGUAGGGUUUUUUAGAUGUAGAAUCAUAUCAUCAGUUUUAAGAGAAAUAAUCUGACUUCUUCUUUUCCUGUUUGGAUGACUUUUACUUCUUUCUCUUUCCUGAUUGCUUUGGCUAGGACUUCCAGAACCAUGUUGAAUAGGAGUGGUAAUUGUCGGCAUCCUUGUCUCAUUCCAGUUCUUAAGGGAAAUGCUUCCAGCUUUUGCUCAUUCAGUAUAAUAUUGACUGUGGGUUUGUUAUAGCUGAAAGAAACAUAGAUGAUACAAACAAAUGGAAUAACAUUCGAUGCUCAUGGAUUGGAAGAGUUAAUAUUGUUAAAAUGGCCACACUUCCCAAAGCAAUUUACAGAUUAGUGUUUUCCCAUCUAACUUCAAUGUUAAUUUUCAUGGGUAGAAUUAGAAAAAACUAUUAUAAAAUUCAUAUGAAAUGGAAAAAAAAAACCCAAAUAGCUAAAACAAUCCUAAGCAAAAGGAACAAAGCCAGGGGCAUCACACUACCUGACUUCAAACUAUACUACAAGCCUACAGUAACCAGAGCAGCGUGGUACUGGUAUAGAAACAGACACGUACACCAAUGAAACAGGAUAGAGGACCCAGAAAUAAAGUCCCACACCUGUAAGUAUCUGAUAUUUGACGAAGUUGAUAAUAACAAAUAGGAC
rnacentral:lncRNA from 1 species